rnacentral:rRNA from 1 species
AUGGCUCAGGAUGAACGCUGGCGGCGUGCCUAAUACAUGCAAGUCGAGCGAAUGGAUUAAGAGCUUGCUCUUAUGAAGUUAGCGGCGGACGGGUGAGUAACACGUGGGUAACCUGCCCAUAAGACUGGGAUAACUCCGGGAAACCGGGGCUAAUACCGGAUAACAUUUUGAACUGCAUGGUUCGAAAUUGAAAGGCGGCUUCGGCUGUCACUUAUGGAUGGACCCGCGUCGCAUUAGCUAGUUGGUGAGGUAACGGCUCACCAAGGCAACGAUGCGUAGCCGACCUGAGAGGGUGAUCGGCCACACUGGGACUGAGACACGGCCCAGACUCCUACGGGAGGCAGCAGUAGGGAAUCUUCCGCAAUGGACGAAAGUCUGACGGAGCAACGCCGCGUGAGUGAUGAAGGCUUUCGGGUCGUAAAACUCUGUUGUUAGGGAAGAACAAGUGCUAGUUGAAUAAGCUGGCACCUUGACGGUACCUAACCAGAAAGCCACGGCUAACUACGUGCCAGCAGCCGCGGUAAUACGUAGGUGGCAAGCGUUAUCCGGAAUUAUUGGGCGUAAAGCGCGCGCAGGUGGUUUCUUAAGUCUGAUGUGAAAGCCCACGGCUCAACCGUGGAGGGUCAUUGGAAACUGGGAGACUUGAGUGCAGAAGAGGAAAGUGGAAUUCCAUGUGUAGCGGUGAAAUGCGUAGAGAUAUGGAGGAACACCAGUGGCGAAGGCGACUUUCUGGUCUGUAACUGACACUGAGGCGCGAAAGCGUGGGGAGCAAACAG